rnacentral:rRNA from 1 species
ACUACGGGUGGCAGCAGUGAGGAAUAUUGGUCAAUGGGCGCGAGCCUGAACCAGCCAAGUAGCGUGAAGGCUGACUGCCCUACGGGUUGUAAACUUCUUUUAUAAAGGAAUAAAGUGAGCCACGUGUGCCUUUUUGUAUGUACUUUAUGAAUAAGGAUCGGCUAACUCCGUUCCAGCAGCCGCGGUAAUACGGAGGAUUCGAGGCUUAUCCGGAUUUAUUGGGUUUAAAGGGAGCGUAGAUGGGUUGAUAAGUCAGUUGUGAAAGUCUGCGGCGCAACCGUAAAAGUGCAAUUGAUACGGGCAGUCUCGAGUACAGUUGAGGUAUGCGGAAUUCGUGGUGUAGCGGUGAAAUGCUUAGAUAUCACGAAGAACUCCGAUUGCGAAGGCAGCUUACUAACCUGACACUGACACUGAUGCUCGAAAGUGUGGGUAUCAAACAGGAUUAGAUACCCCAGUAGUC